rnacentral:rRNA from 1 species
GACGAACGCUGGCGGCGUGCUUAACACAUGCAAGUCGAGCGGAGCGGCGAACGGGUGAGUAACGCGUGAGUAACUGCCCCCCUCUCUGGGAUAACAGUUGGAAACGGCUGCUAAUACCGGAUAGUGGGGGAUGACUCGCGUCCUAUCAGCUUGUUGGUGGGGUAGUGGCCUACCAAGGCGACGACGGGUAGCCGGCCUGAGAGGGCGACCGGCCACAUGGGGCUGAGAUACGGCCCAAACUCCUACGGGAGGCAGCAGUGGGGGAUAUUGCACAAUGGGCGAAAGCCUGAUGCAGCGACGCCGCGUGGGGGAUGAAGGCCUUCGGGUUGUAAACUUCUUUUGCUCUGAACAGUGUAGGGGUUGAUUAGCGCCGGCUAACUACGUGCCAGCAGCCGCGGUAAUUC